rnacentral:lncRNA from 1 species
CUUUAAAACACCCCAAAAUGCAAUUUAACAAUACUUGAGAUUUUGGGCUGUUACAAUUCUCCCCCACUAGAAUUAGACUUCGCCCUCGAAGUCUCACUCUGAAAAUAGUUCUGGAUGCUGCUCCCGCAUCACACGUUUCGGCUUCCCUAAACACUUCCGAUAUCUUCCGAGGUCGCUACUGAACCAAUACCAGAGGUACCUCCUUGUUCCUCAGAACCUUGAUCUUCCAAUCUCCGACGGCCACUGGCCUCUCGACGUAACACAGGCUCGCAUCCACCUAAUCGUUCUCUAGUAGAACCACUGCUGACUCAUCCGCUAUACACCUCUUCAACUGCGACACAUACCAGUGUCAUGGAUCCGUCCCAAUUCCGUUGACAGCUCCAAACGAUAGGCCACCCUUCCUACCUUCGCACCUUCACGAAAAGACCCAACAUACCGGGGCCCCCCAUUUACCCCUCUUCCUAAAUCGAAGCACCCCAUCAGAAAUACGAAGUCGCUGACCUGAAUCACAUGCUCGUAACGGCGUCUGCCUGCAUAACUUUCCUGUUAACUCUAGACGAUCACUAACUCUCUUUAACCUGCUGAGUCUGCUUUGUCAACUAAAGUACGAACUCUGAACUGCUCAUCACUCUCUGUAAUCGGAAAUUACCCACGAUGCACUCUGCUCCAAAUCUCAACGAUCACUCAACCCAUAAGGGUUAGGAAACCCUGAACCACCGGAUCCCCGAUCCAAAGCCCACUUUGCCCAUUCCGGACCGACUGAGAGAUCCGUUCUCCCUCUCAGAUCAACUCUCACAAGUUCCCUCUUGCCAUCACAUACACAUACUGAACUAGUCCCAACACCCGCAGGUGGAAAGACCCGAUACACUGAUGAUAUCCUCGAACAUCUCCCAAGAUGAACCACUACAUCCACCCUACACUCUGAUCAGAUUCACACUGAGAAUUUAAAAUUUUCUCUCUCCAUGCAUCCCUUCUGAGCCUCAACAGACAUCCCAACCGGAUGGGUUCCUACUCCACUGCCGCGAACACGAUGCUCAAAACCAUACUCGAAAUACUCUAACCAUAACUCUGCUCUGCAGCUUUCACUUUCGUGAACUUGCACCCCCUUCGGAGUUACAUACCCUCCUCUUUUCCUUUUCCACGGAACUCUCUUGAACAUAAUGCCACUCCAACCGGUGCCACGGUGCUCGCCCCAAGCGACACCACCCUUUUUGCGUAACUGCUAUUCACAUACUCUGGUUCUCAUUGCAGGGGCUCUCAAUCCCAUGCACUCUCUCCACUCAUCAAAAUCACUGCCUCCGCUAAACAAGAUCAAUAACCCGGGGCCAGACCUUCCAAUGCAAUCACACUGCAACAUACGCGAUCCGCAAAUCUCAAACUAAUCCAGCAAUACCAACAGAGUCUCCAGUAUGACUGGACCGACUCUCAUAACACAUACUAGCCACUCGAGGCUAUAUCUCUGUGGGUCCGUACACCCAAACUCUGCGAACCCUCAGGUUCUAACUCUGGGAACCUUCCGGUUCCAGCUCUAGAAACAUGCACAACAUAAUCCCGUGGGAUUAAUGCAGUACAACCCAUCACGUACCUCAAACGUACCAAUACUCUGAUCGCAAAAUUCCGAUUACUUACUCAAGCUUGAUCCCGACCUCCUCUCAGGCCUCCACAAUCAAAUGCCCUAGGUCUGUAUCUCGCCCCGCAUACUCAACACUCGCUCUCGUCGGCCUAUACUUUGCGCUGACAAACACUGCUGAAUCCCAACAGCUAAGCACCCUUACAUACUCAUCGAUCUCCCGGAGAAUUUUACAAUUCUCCCCCACUAAAGCACUGACUAACUGCCACCGAUCGUCAUUAACGACCUUUCAGAACCAUCCUGCACAAAGAGAACAUUUACCCACUGACUGCUUCCCACAAGCGUAAGCAACCCUCAGCAAAACACAUCUCCUCCCUGAUCAAUCCGCUCAAAAGAAUCCGAUCUUUCAAUUAUCCACUCCACAACUGCAGAUGCUACCCGUCAUUCAACCCAGUGCCGCAUCUCCACUAUCAACCCUCACGAACGAUGACCAACGGAAUUCCCAAGCAAUAACCCAUAACCAAACCCACAACCUGCCAAAGGUUGAAUAUCGCAUCGAAAACCGCACAAGGCUACCGGUACCAAAACACCAAACUAUAAUCAUACUAAACCAUCAGGGAACAACGAAUGCCAAGCGAAAACCUGAAGCACCAAUCCAUAACCAUGCCAAACCCGCGAAACAACGAAUACCGCAUCGAAAUCCACACCAGACACCAGCACAAACAAUACGCCACAAUCAACGCAAGCUACUCAAGACAUCAAGAGAGCAUCAUACCCGCAGCUGCCUCCGGCACUGCUCCGUCUCCCUCUGCCGCAAGCCGAUAAGCACGACCCUGAGCCCUUGGGCUCUGCUCCAUCCUGUCCUCCUCCUGAACUCCUCAAGGUGGCCGAUGCUAGAGCCUGCACCGGUCCUGCAGGAAACUGUGGACGGUUGACCCUCAAAUGUCCAACCUGCCGACACUGAUAACAAAUCCUGAAAUCCCGAAUUGGCACUGACUGCCGACAAUCCCGUGCACCAUGCCCCUCCUUUCCGCACUUGCGGCAUGCACCACUGGGCCAACAAGCUCCGGUGCCAUCUCUCUCACACUUCCCACAAGUGUGACCGCUCCGAUCCCCCAUUCUAACGUCUACGGUCAUGGACCGUUUCGGCGCCGACUGCGACUGCAUCGGGGCCUGCCUCAUCUCACGCAACUGCAACUCAACCUCUAACUCACGCCACAUGGCGGCCUCCUGCGAUACCAACACGGUCUCGCGCCUCUGCGCAGACACGAACUGUCUGAUACCCCCCCUUGAGCAUACUCGGAUAUCGGGACAUCUGAGCCUGCUCCGAAGCGAACUCAGGGCAAAACAUCGCCCUCUCAAUAAACAUCCCGGUGCUCUCAGUCACCGACUCCAAAUCCUGCUUCAGCUUAAGGAACUUCCGAGCCAAUUUCUCCUUUUCAUCCCGCGGAACAUAGCGAGUACUGAACAUCCCUCUGAAUUGAUCCCAUGAAACCGCAGCCCUCUGCGCAUCGGAAAAUGACCUCGUGGUCAAUCUCCACCAAUCCUUCGCCCCGAGCCUCAACAGGUUCAGAGCACACCCCACCCUCUGAUCAGCAGGGCAUAAACUCGUGGAGAAACACCCCUCCAUGUCUGAUAACCAUCUCAUAGCAACAAUCGAGUCCUGAACUCCAUCGAAUGUGGGAGGCUUCGCAUAAUAGAAGUCCCGAUACUGAAAACCCCGACUAGCCCCUUUCUUUGCCGUUGCUACAGCCGCUGUAACCGCCGCGGCAGCCGUCUCUGCGAAAGCCGCAUAUCGCUCAUCAAACUACUUCAAUCAUAGUGGUCCUGAUCGACCCAAACAAUUCUGGCGACUCAGCCCGCAACAAUGCAGCAACCUCAUCACGCCGGAUCUCGCGAAUCCUCGCAUCCCGCUCGCUCGUGCUCGUCCGAUCGAUAACCGGAUAACAAGAUAGCCACAAGCAUCAUCCACUACGAACCAUGGUACUCAUCCCAUGACAUCCCUCCUCAACAUGCUUCGGUGUAUGGUACCUGAACCAUAGCACCACUCCUCAAUCUGCUCCAAUGUAUAGCACUCGAACCACAACAUCUAUCUCAAUCUGUUCCGAUGUAUGGUGCCCUGACCAUAACAUCACUCUGUAUCCGCUCCGAUGUAUGGUAUCCGAACCAUAACAUCACCCCUCAAUCUGUUCCUUAGGACCUUCAGAAUGCCCCCUGUAUCAAGUAUGGGUCCUCUGCUUUCAGUAGUACGGGCCCAUACUACCUGCCACAUCUACCCAUACUUUCCACACGGACCAUCCCAGAGUUCCUAAGUAGCUGAUAAACCUGCUCUUUCACCCAUCUCAUCGCGCGUGCUCGCUUUCCAGCGAAAUCCUCUACUCUACCAGCGCACUCAUCUGGCUAGGUUUACUCCCUAGUCCCUUCCGCUGUCCUCCCACUUCUUUGCUAUCAGCUGCUGAAGAGUUCCUAAUGAUGCCAGCCCUCUACCUCCUGAGUAUCGUCAUACUCACUUAGUAGCUGACUCCCAUCAUCGAUAACUCCACAAAGCACAAAGCAAGCAGCAUUCGAGCAUUGAAGCAUACAUAGGACUCCCCAUCUGUGGUAGCUCCACCUUCUCGGCUCAUCCUCGGAAGUACCUCUGUACCCCGUAGCUUUACCCCUUGUGCGUUCUAACUAGAUACUCUCACUCAUCACAUACACACAAAAGCAUAACGCACAUAUAACAGCAAACCCUAGACUAAGGCAUCACAAAUCAGGCCACUCUAGUCCUAAGAUGUGAAAUACCUAGCCUGUCUCUAGCAUGCAAUAAUGUCUCAUAAAGUGCAUAAUAGAUAUUUCAUAAUACAAAAGUAAGGGUAUUUUGGGAAAUCACCGUUUGGCUCUGGCUGAUUGUACACACUGCUCUUUCUUGCUUUCUCUUUGAACUCUUAUUCACUUUUAGAAAACCAUUUAUUUGGAAAACUUUUUCUUACUUCCUCAGUUUGAGUCCAGAUUUACCCGUAGGCGCGUCCGAAUCCCUCAAACCAAGGCUCUGAUACCAAUUUGUAACACCAAGAUUUCCAAAAACAAAAUUUUCAUUUAAAUAAUCAAUUUAAUAUUAAAAACACUUGUUUAAAAUCUUAUUCACAUUCGAAUUACAAAACAUAGUUUCAUUUUCAUUAUAAUAGAAGACCAGGAUCCUCCAAAACACAACUCUUUCUUCGGUGUGUACAAUCGAACCGUUGCCAUCCCGCGUUACUGUAAGAACCUGAAACAACAUAACAUAAACAACGUAAGCACGAAGCUUAGUGAGUUCCCCAAUAUACCUUACGCACAUACGCCUUCCGGCCCGGACCUUUCGGUCCACAUAACAUUGCCUUCCGGCCCGGAUCUUUCGAUCCACAUAACAUUGCCUUCCGGCCCGGACCUUUCGGUCCACAAUAUAUAUCGCCUUCCGGCCCAUAAGAUAAUUGCCUUCCGGCCCAUACACAUAUAUAACACAUAAUACAAAUACUCUAACACAUAAAGCACAUAUAUCAUAUAUCAUACCUGACCUUUCUGUCACAUAAUACCUUGCCUUCCGGCCCAUAUAUAAGCAUGUAUAUCACGCGUAGCAGCUAACUUUCCAUUUAUAGCAUAUAAACAUAACACAUAACAUACUUGACCUUCCGGUCACACAAUCAAACCCUUCCGGGUGAGGUAUAGUGAGAAGACUCACCUCGCGGACACUAGAAGAUAGCAACUCCUAAAAUCCCUUGCACUUGAUCCUCCGAGCUACAAGCUCCCUGUAACAUCAUAUAUCCCUUAUUUAAUACUUCUAUCUUCCACGUUAACUGACCCUAAGAAAUCACACCAGUCAACUCUGGUCAACAGUCCAUUGUCAGCUCGACUGGACUCGGCGAGUUCCCUGGCGACUCGGCGAGUCUGGUCGUCCUUCAAUCCUCUGAGAUUCCCCUUCUACUCGUCGAGUAUCCUCUUUGACUCGACGAGUCACUCCUGGAAGAAUCGCGGGGCCACCCCGACUCCACUCGCCGAGUCUGAAGAACAACUCGGCGAGUCCCAGUGAAUCUUCAAGCUACUCGCCGAGUCUGAUCAUCCGACUCGGCGAGUCCACGCCAUGCAGUCGAUCCAACUGCUUCCUGAGAUACGUUUUUCCCGAGAUACACACUCAUGGGACUUCUGGACCUCUAAUCAUCCUAUUACUAGGGUAGAAACCUUUGUAUAACAACAUAAUAAUCCAUCAAAUCUCCAAAUGGGUUUCAUAAACCCUAAAUUCGUGUACACAUCAAAAUAACAGGAAUGAUCCGAAACCUUACCUGAAAACAUACUCUCUGUGUCCCCAAACCUCAGAACUCGACCCCCUUGCUCUUCCUUUGGCCAAAAUCCUUCCUCUUCUUGCACCACAAUUCCUUCAAAGUCAAUAAUGGCCUUCAAGUUUUGCUCCAAAUGCCACAGUCGUCUAGGGUUCUCCACAAUCGGCCAAAAGACGUGAAAUGACGACAUACAACCCUUAAAUACGACCCAAUACGAAACGGCUAGGGUUUCUGCUGAACAGCGUCGACUCGCCGAGUCCAUACCUGGACUCGUCGAGUCCAGUCGCGAACCCGCGACCAAAUCUGCGACCCUACUCGGCGAGUCUGGCUCCAACUCGCCGAGUCUCCCCUUUAAAACACCCCAAAAUGCAAUUUAACAAUACUUGAGAUUUUGGGCUGUUACAAUUCUCCCCCACUAGAAUUAGACUUCGCCCUCGAAGUCUCACUCUGAAAAUAGUUCUGGAUGCUGCUCCCGCAUCACACGUUUCGGCUUCCCUAAACACUUCCGAUAUCUUCCGAGGCCGCUACUGAACCAAUACCAGAGGUACCUCCUUGUUCCUCAGAACCUUGAUCUUCCGAUCUCCGACGGCCACUGGCCUCUCGACGUAACACAGGCUCGCAUCCACCUAAUCGUUCUCUAGUAGAACCACUGCUGACUCAUCCGCUAUACACCUCUUCAACUGCGACACAUACCAGUGUCAUGGAUCCGUCCCAAUUCCGUUGAC